UUCUACCCUUUUUGAACCUCAGCCUUAAACAGGAUGUGAAAACCCUUGCUUUGAAAAUCUUUGCCUUGAGUUAGGUUGAGAAUUAUUUUGUGGUAUUGAUAAAGGUUCAAGUUUCGGGUUGUUGGGAAUGUUGAAAAAGAAAAGCUAGGCAUUUAGCUAAUGUGUUGAAUGAAAAAAACAUGAAAAAGAUAGAAAAGAUAACAUGAAAAGAAAAGCUCAAUGUGAAGAAAAGGGAAAGUUGGGAAUGAGUGAGAUUGGUAAAAAAAAGAGUUUGUGCUUGAAAUAUGAUUGUUUGAAAGACUCUCUUAACUCAAGGAUUUUGUGAUCUAGAAAAACCAAUUUUU
rnacentral:lncRNA from 1 species